UAAAAUCUUACACCGUAUCCUGGUUGAUAAAUGCAUGCAGGUGUUCUUGUGACCUUGAGUUAGCUAUCAUCUCUUUUUCAGUUCAUGUCUACUGCUCUCCAUUUCUCUAAAGCACCCUCUUCUAUACCCUUCACAUAUUUCUUCUCCUUUUAUUUUUUAAACAAUUCUUAAAUUGUUUGUCCUCAAUCCUCUUAAUAAAAUGUUCAAACUCUUAUUCCAGUAGCCAUAGCUUUUAAAUAAAACCAUCAUGUAUGUGGUCAAUAAACACCUACUGAAUGCAUACUAUAUGUUGUGUGCUAGUAGGCUCUGGAUCACAGAAUGCAUACAAUUUACUUCUUGUCCUCCACCUUCUGGCAUCAUGAUUUUUGGCUCAGACAUUAGCAACAUUAUCACUAUCAUUUCAUAGAUGAGAAAAUUAAGCUUGGAGAGUUUAAGUAAUAUUUGCCCAAGGUUCCAUGGUUAUAAGUGUAGAGACAGGAUUCAAAUUGAGGUCUGGAUCCUCAGAAUCCACAUCAAAUUCUUAUGGAAGUCUGCAUUCCUUUUGAUUGGUGGAGAAUUGGGUUAAACUGGUUUCUAGAAAUUAUUUGAACCCCAAAGUGAUAAGUAAGAUAUUUUAUUAGAUUGGCAUGUAUAUGGUAACCACAAUGUGAAUGGAAGGUAAUAAUUUUUGUUUUGUUUUGUUCUCAGAACUUGUAUAAAGACAAUUGCAAGAGAAAUUCUAAAAAUAUGUUGACUACUGACAGCCUUCCUAGUUUUACAAGACAAAUGAUGUCUUUCCUGUAAUUCUGAAUUGAUAAAAGGAUUGAAGGGAAACUUUAAUGCCUCUAUUUCGAGACAGAAAUGUUGGACUUCAUAAAGCUAUUACUCAUCAGCUGACAAGACUAAUUCAGGCAGAGUGGAGAAUGAUGUAUGCAAGGACCAACAACAUAUGACAGCUAGGAUGUUGAUUCAGUGGUGUGGUCAGGGAGACACCAUCAGGAUUUGUCAUUGUCAAAAUGGUCACACUUGGAAAACAGUCUUUUCCGGUACAGCUGUUACAGCAUUGCACAUGCACAUGUACAUAAAUAUACCUAAUUAUGCACAUUCUGACAUAAACAUAUGUGCUUACAUUUAUUGAGGAUGAUUAUGUGAGUAUCUAUAUAUAUAAAAGUCUAAGAGACUGUCCGACCGUCUGCCUGUCUGACUGGUAGCUAUGAUGUGCAAUGACCACCAGAGGGCGGAUGCUCAAUGCAGGAGCUGCCAAGCUGUGGUGACUUGGCAGCU